rnacentral:miRNA from 1 species
UCUAGAAGACUGUAGGAUG